GUGGAUUAGAUACCCGGGUAGUCCACGCCGUAAACGAUGAUUGCUAGCCGUUGGGCAGCUUGCUGUUCAGUGGCGCAGCUAACGCAUUAAGCAAUCCGCCUGGGGAGUACGGCCGCAAGGUUGAAACUCAAAGGAAUUGACGGGGGCCCGCACAAGCGGUGGAGCAUGUGGUUUAAUUCGACGCAACGCGCAGAACCUUACCAGGGUUUGACAUCCUGCGACCGCUCCUUAAUAGGAGUUUUCCCGCAAGGGACGCAGAGACAGGUGCUGCACGGCCGUCGUCAACU
rnacentral:rRNA from 1 species